CUGAAAAAAAAAAAAUCAAAAAGUCCAAAAUAAAGAAGAACCGCCGCCUAAAUUGGGUUUUUUAGAAAUGGUAAGAAGCCCUAACGUGGCGCCUUGUGAUUGGAAAACCCUCCCCCGUCAGUUGCUCUCUCUCUCUCCUUCGCCGCUCGACUUCUCCGUCUUCGCAUGCAAAGCUCGUUUUCUCUCUAGAAUCUCGUCUCCAAUCUCGUUUCUCUCUCGAAUCUCGUCUCCAAUCUCGUUUACUCUCUCGAAUCUCGUCUCAAAUCUCGUUUCUCUCGAAUCUCGUCUCGGACCUCGUCUCGAUCUCCUUAUCGGUAAGAAAUCAUUCUUUUGAUUUGAUCUUUAUGUUACUGCUGUUUGUGAUCCUCUGUUCUCUGUUCGUGGUCCUCUGUUCUUGUCUUCUUUCUCCUGAGGUUUGUGAUAAAGAUCACAAGAGAGAAGCUUCAAGAGAAGAAGAUGAAGAAGAAGCGAGAUAAGUUCGAACAUCCCUUUCUCCUGCUGUCUCGAUUUUGGUUUAUGAUGUCGAUGAAAACUGAUGUAGAUUACUAGUAGAGUUUUGUUUGACUGUUGAAAAGAUUGAAUAUUUUGCAUAGAAACAGAGUCGGUUGGUUUGUUAUAAGAAGUGUUGAUGAUGAAUUGGUUAAGGGAAUGAUUAGCUGAUCUUGAAGGUAUGUGUUUUGGUCUGUUUUAGCUGAUCUUGAAAGUGUCUGAAUUUUAUUUAUUGGUGAUGAGCAUGUGUAGUCGGUUGUGAAGAAAAUCUCUGGAAGGAAGUGGGGUUUUUGCAGUGGACAAGCUUGUAUCUCUGUAGAUUACGCUCUUGUAGAACAGAGUUUUGCGUCUUCUCUGAUUGAAACUUUGAAGCUGAUGAUAAGGUCUUUCUUCGGGGAAAACCCUAAAGAAUCUGGAUGUCUCUCUAGGAUUGUUACCAAGAAACAUUUUCAGAGAUUGGCUCGUCUUCUUAAUGAUCCUGGUGUUCAAGCUUCAAUCGUUUAUGGUGGCUCCACCAUUUUUCUCUGAGUGUAAAAGAACUUGUCUUUCCUUUUGGCAAACACCAUUUCUCUCCGAUUGUAAAAGCAAAACUUGUGUUUCCUUUUGUGUAAUCAUUUGUCUUAAAGCAAAUACCAUUUCUCUUA